CGAAAGCCUGACGGAGCAACGCCGCGUGUGGGAAGAAGGCUCUUGGGCUGUCAACCGCUUUUCUCAGGGAAGAAGUCCUGACGGUACCUGAGGAAUCAGCCUCGGCUAACUCCGUGCCAGCAGCCGCGGUAAUACGGAGGAGGCAAGCGUUAUCCGGAAUUAUUGGGCGUAAAGCGUCCGCAGGGGGCGCAUCAAGUCUGCUGUUAAAGGUCGGAGCUAAACUCCGGUAGAGCAGUGGAAACUGGUGCGCUAGAGGGCGACAGGGGUGGAGGGAAUUCCCAGUGUAGCGGUGAAAUGCGUAGAGAUUGGGAAGAACACCGGUGGCGAAAGCGCUCUACUGGGUCGCACCUGACCCUCAGGGACGAAAGCUAAGGUAGCG
rnacentral:rRNA from 1 species